GACGUGUAUUUGGCAUGUGCAAAGCCCUAACAUUUCUAGUAGCCCGGGGGGAGUGUAUAGAAAUGGAGGGAGUAGCACCCGCCAAGCGUUUGAGCUUUCGACA
rnacentral:pre_miRNA from 1 species